GAUCCUGAUGAGGUAAUUUGCGUUUGAUUCUGGCUGUUGGCGCCCUCGCCGGGGUUGCUAUAGCAGUUGGUUAAAUGACAUUUCUUUUCUUACAUAUUCUGAAC
rnacentral:snoRNA from 1 species